CCCCUCUUUUAUUUCUUCUUUUCUUUGGUCCAGCAUAUUAGGGAUCAUUAUGCAAUAUCAUUAUACCGAAUCGAGAAGAUUAGAGGUUUCUUCUCAAUCCAGUUCGGAGGAAUUAGGGUUUCGAUUCGAUCUGGGCUCAGAAAUCCUAAUUCCUCAUCGUCCGGAGGUUCAACCCCAUGAAUUUCUUCAUUCUAGGGUUUGUGGAUCGAUUUAGAACGCCGUUUCCUUGUAAUCUAGAUCGAAAUAUCGAAGGAGUUAGGGUUUCUGAUGGAUUCAAGCAAAAGAGCUAUGGAAUCUUAUUGUUGAUCUUGGAUGAUUGAUGGCGUGACAUCAGAUGAGGACAAGGUCGCUCCAGUUUACAAAUUAGAGGAGGUUUGCGAGCUUCUGCAAUCUUUGCAUGUCAGCAUCGUGAAAGAAGUUUCCGACUUUAUCUUCAAAUGGCUUGAUCAUAAAAGUCCGAUGGUCAAGCAAAAGCUCAGGGUGGCAUUGGGGUGGGGCCCACCUUUCAUUUAAUCUAGGCAUUAUACCUGAUAUAUUAAAUAUCAAUUCCAACACUUGUGGUGUGUUAUAUACCCUAUGCUUCAAAUUAAACAUAGGCCAUUUAUCUGUCUAUGGCUGCGUGCUGUUGGGCUGACUUUUGCAGGAAGGCCUAUGUUUUGGCGUGGUGUACAGGUCUUCUACGCAUCUAGCGGGUGAGUAGAGUAGUGGUUGUUUCCUGCACAUCUAAGAUCAAUUAAAGCAAAUUCGAGGUGUUUUUUUUUUUUUUGCUUCCAAGUGGGUGAUGCAGUUGGGUUAAAAAAGACUGUGAUUGAACGUCCACCAUUAAAAACUUCUU